rnacentral:misc_RNA from 1 species
AAAAAUUUCAUUGCUUCUGUCAUUGACAAAUUAAACAGGAAUAGACGGGGAGCAUCAACUAUAUAACCAUAUGCAGCAGUCAUCGUCCGAAACUAUAGAGGACAGCUGGCUCAUGGGGUAACCCGUAAGGUGGCCUAUUCUUCGGUCUUUGUUGGUGAAGCAGCAGCAUUGGUAACAGCUAUUCAGUUGGCAAGCAGCAUGGGAGCUAUAUCUGUUAUUCAGGAAUCAGAUUCUACCUUCCUCGUUGAUUGCCUUGAGACUCCAAUUCCAAAUUUGCAUUAUAGAUGGGAAUGUCAAGCUUCUCUUCAGACAACUUCCUAGCAUUGUCAUCGUUUACCCAGGGCCCCUUUCAUUGGUGAAGCGCCCAGCAAACAAACCUGUAGAUUGUCUGGCUAAGCUUGCCUUCAAGGGUAAACUUCCACGUGAUUGGCUUCAAGCC